UCCAAUUAUAAUCAUAAUCCAGCUUUUUUCUUCUUUACAUGAUAUGACCUAGUUGACAAUCUCAUAAGUCAGGAGACUCAAGUCUUAAUACUUAAUUCUGUUUCGUUAUUUUCAAAUAACGACGGAUAAAAACAUAAUUUUGUGUCAUUAAAACUCUAAUGGAGUUGUCUUAUUUAAAUAAAAAAUAAAAAUUGUAUCAUAAAUAUGAUUGGUUACAAUUGGAUAGGCAUCUUGGUCGCCUAUAGGCUCUCAAGUAAGAGCCUGUAAGAUCUAAUUAAAAACCAUACAGCAUGACAAUAAUUUCGAAUUCUAAUCAAGGAUCUAAUUAAUGGCGGUGGGUGAACCUCAGCAUGAAAAUGAUUUAGAUUUCUGAUCAAGGAUCUAAUUAGUGGCACUGCCUCACCCAGUUCCAUCCCCGCAAACUCGUCUAGCUCCUCAACUGAAGAAAAAAAAAUUAAAUGAAUGAAUUUCAAUCCAAGUUAAAGACAAUUUAAAACAUAUCAUAAAUCCAUACAUAAUUUAAGGGAUAAGAACAAAAAAAAAAAUCAGAAAUGUUUAGAACACCAAUCAUAUAAAUAUCAUAUAUAAUUUUUUUUUAAUGAUUAAGGAAAGAAAAAAAUAUUAAAAAAAAUGAUUCCCAUAUUUGAUUUAUGAAAAAUAGUGAAAGAAAAUCAAAUAGAAAUUUAUACAUUUUUAAAUUAUUUAAUUUUUAUAUAAUAAGGAAAAUAAAUGAAAUGAAUUUAAAGAAACAUAUAAAAUAAUUUAUUGGCUUUGAACUUUUUAUUUUUUCUUUUUCCUUCAAAAUUUUCAACAACCAAACAUAUCCUUAAAUGAACAUCCCUCGUGAAAAGAUCAUGUAAAAAAUAUUUAGCAUGAGUAACUUUAGAAAGAUUGUAGAACCUCGUACCAUGCUUCUAUUUUUUUUAAACCAUCUACCAAAGCAAGAAAAAAAAAUUAGAAUUAGAAAUCACAUAAUAUAUAUUAAAAUAAGAUGACUGAGGCUUUUUGUUUUUAUUUUAAAAAAUUUUCAAAUAAAAAAUAUUUACCAUUAGUGAUUUUACAAAGACCAUAGAAGUUCAUAGCAUAAUUUCCUCACCCUUGUAUGAAAAGAUUUCUUAGAACUUUCUAAAAAGGAAAAAAGAAAAAGGUACAAUAAUAAAAUCCAUCCAAAAUUACAUAAUAAUGGUGUCAUAGCUAACCCUAAAUUUGUUUCAUAUUUAUUUACUAAUCUUAACACCUCCACCAAUUCUACCCCGCUACAAGACUUUAAUUUUUUCCGUCUUAAACAAAACAAGAACUUCUAAUUUUAUAAUAGAAAAAGUAAGGCCAUGUUUGGCCAUGUUUUUUAAAACUUGUUUUUAAGUUAAAAAAAUAAAAAAACUAUUUUUAAAAAUAACUUUUAGAAAAUAUGGUCAAACAAGCCUUCUAUUUUUCUUUAGUUUUUAAAAAUUAAUAAAAAAAAAACUUCACUUAUUUUCUAAAAAUUGUUUUCUAUUUCACUUUAUUUUUUAAAAUUAUUUUCAGAAAACAAUGAUAAAAUAGUAUUAUGAAUUUUUUAAACUAAUUUUCUAUUUUUAAAAAUAGAAAAAUUGUUUUUAAAUCAUACACCUAAAUAAACUCUAAGUUUACUUUGUUAAUAAGAGAAAAAAAUCCUAACAUGAGAAGAUUUAAAGUUUUAAUUAUUUAUCUAUAGUAAUUAAAAAAAAAACACCUCACCCCCAUCACGAGAAGAUUUCUUUGAAGUUAGUAUAUCUAUACAUCUUUAUCAAUAAUUAUUAAAAAGAAAAAAAAUACAAUAAUAUUAUCCAUCCAAAGUUACAUAGCAACUAAGGAUCAUUAGAUCCUACCAAGAAAAAAAAAGGCAAAAUUCAUACUUAAUUUAAGGAUAGGAAAAAAAAUUCAACGAUUUAAAAAUGUUAUUAUUAUUAUUAUUAUUAUUUAAAAAAAAAAUCUAUGAAAGGGAGAAAAAGAAAAAAUCAUUGGAAUAUAAAAUCAUAACUAUAAAAAUAUGCAAAAACCAUAGCAAUAAUAUUUAGUAUGAGCUAUCUUCAAAAAUCAUAUAAAGUUUUUUCAUUCAAGAUUUUCCAUCGCUACAAAAUAUGUUAAUGGCUUUGAAAUAAAAAAAAAAAUUGCAUCAUUAAAACCCUAAAAAAUAAAUAUAUUAAUAAUUUUGAAAAAAAAUAAAUGAAUAAUAUUAAAAAUAAAAGAAUAAUAUUUUCAUACUUACUCCAAGGGCCAUCCUCAUAAUUAAAAUCCUCAUCAAAACCUGCAUUCGUUAUACGAUUCCACCUUGGAAGACUCAUUUUUCUCUCUCAAAGAAGACAAGGAUCUCCAAC
rnacentral:lncRNA from 1 species